rnacentral:pre_miRNA from 1 species
UCUUAGGGAUGCACAAAGAAAGUAGCUUCUUGAGAUAGAAUCUACACCUGAUGAGGAUGCUGUGAA